CGCACACAACACAUCACACAAUGAUCUCACCAAUGUUACCAGCUGGGGACCAGCAAACCACAUUUACCAAAUAAGAUUUUCGUCAUAAACAAGAGGCUGGCCCUACAAGCUGAGUGCCUCCUGUAACUUCAGUGGGACUACUCCUGUUUUUUCAGGUGUCUAACUAGUGAAAGCAGCACUGCAAACCAUCGAGGAGCCAUGCCUUGAGGCAGAGCACAUUCUAGCUCCAGCUCAGGCUGAGGCGGUUGAGGAGCUGAGGGUGGUUUGUCUGUGCAACCUGAUAUAUCCACAGUGCUGGGCACAAGAUUAACAAUAACACAUGUGGAGACCAAAUGGACACAGCUAAUGAAAAUCUCGGAUGGAAGGUGCAUGAGGCACAAGCACACCUGAAGCGGAACACCCACAAAAGCACUACUUGAAGAAGAAGAUAUAGAUCAGGGAUUGGCAACCUUUGGCAUGCAGCCUGCCAGGUUUGUUUACCUGCCGCGUCCGCAAGUUCAGCGAUCGCGGCUCCCACUGGCCGCGGCUCUCCGCUCCAGGCCAAUGGGGGCUGCGGGAAGCGGCGCGGGUUGAGGGAUGCCUAAGUUGCUACUAAAAUUUUGCUUAAAUGUGAAAUGAAUGUAUAUGAAACAGUGUGCAUACCCACUCCCUGGUAUGUAGAUACUCUAAAGAACAAGUGUUUGGGUUGUUGUUUUUUUAUAACAGGUUUGAAUAAAGAUUCCAACCACUUCAUAUGCAAUCAUCAGAAAUGUAACAAUAGUAAAAGAAGUAAAAGGAAAAUCUGAUAGAAGAUAUGGAUGAUACAUAUGCUGGCAAUGAACACCUUCUUUCAUUAUCCUGCCAAAAUACCAUAGAA